AAAAUCUUAGGUUAAGUUAAACUGAGGGCCUUCAAAGCCUUUAAUGGAGAUGGUGUGUUUCCAGAUUUUGC
rnacentral:tRNA from 1 species